CCCAUGUAUCUCCUAGACAUGGAGAGAGAGCACGGGAGGGAAGGAGGAAGGAAGAGGCAGGCGUGGCCGUGGUUGGUUCUCCGGCGGCGCUGGAUCGGUGCAUGGGCGCAGAGCUCCUGCUCAGGGCGCGAAGAUCUAGGGAGGGACUCGGGUGCGAGGCUGCGGGUCUAUGCAGAGAUGGCACUGCUCCUUCAACUUUUGAAGAAUGCGCUGAGACAUCAGCUAGAUCCGCAGAUUUUGACAGGUUUGGGUCCAUCUAUAACAUGCUUGACCGGGCGAUCACGUGGCUACCGAGCACUCUUAUUUUCUGGUCAUAAGCUCUUACUAAGAUGUUGUCGGUCGGGUGUCCUCUACUACUGAAGUUUUACCACGAUCUGGUGGUGCUUGAGAGCAGAGACGACAUACUUUCAUCAGCAGUGGCCAAACCCCCACCGCCGCCGGUGCUGUACACCCCUGUACCCCUUGACAUCCAGUGCCUCGCGUCUGCCCAACAUGAAAACCUCCUCAAUAGGAUAGUGCCCUUUAUGUGCAUGAACUAAUGGGUGUGUUCACAACAUAGAGCAGCUUCUCCAUCCAGUCUCAUGUCUUUCUCUUUAGCAGGGAUCAGUGAGUACUACCGAGCAAAAAAGUCCUUCUCUUCGUCAUAUUUCUUCCUUUUCUUUACUACUUUUGUGGCUCCAAAUCUCAUGAUGGCUCUAUGUCUGUUCUUUUUGUUGACAUGGAUUUUACCCUGAAAGUUUUUCUUCUGAUCUACAAUGUUCUGCCAUCUAAAUUUUUCUGUAUAUUAUGAAUGAGUAGACAGUGGUGCAGAAGCCGAAUUGGAUGAAAUUACGGACUAUAGAGAGGUAUAAUUAUUAAUUAAUUCAUUUCUUUAAAAGAUAUGCAGCUAGCAGAGUUUCUUACUUUUAUGAUUUGGAUUAUGACCGAAUUGAAGAACUUAUGUGGACAGCCCGGCAGGUUUCAGUGGCAAGACUUUUGUACAAUUACAGUGGCAGAUUUCAGAAAUUUGUAGAGCACAUGAUUUACAAGAACAAGAUAUUCUGUCAAGCCAUGGAUAUCAACAAUCAGUCAAGCAAAGAAAUAUUCAUGGGAGAUAUACAGGGAUCCACAAGAAUGUGCACCGUGUAGCACUACCCUUUUGUCAUUGAGCCACUAUCACAUUUUGGCCAGCAAUCAGUUCAAGCAGUUCUCGGCGCCUUUAGUCAGAAGCUGGAAUUUACAACUAAACGAACAUCAAGCAACAGAAGAAAGGGUGGUCAUCUCUUUUUCUUGGCACCAAGAUGUCAUACAAGCAUUGAGACAUCGGAAACACAUAAGAAGUUUGUGUAUAAAUGAUUAGCCUUUUAGAAGUAUAUGGCGUUGCUUAAACUAUGUUUCUUUUGGCAACACCAUAUGAAAUGGAGAAAGUUUUAGGUUUAGGAUAAAAUUGUUCUAGAUUUUGAGAAAAUUGUUACAGAUCCAUGAGAAAAAUGUCCCAACUUUAGGAAAUUAACUAUCCAUAUUUUCGGUUAUUGGUUAAUAAGUUGGCCACAAUAGUUUUUUUA